CGCGAAGCCCGCCUCAAGAUGAGAUUUCCCAAUUCGUAAGACCCCUGGAAGAACACCAGGUUGAUAGGCUCGGGGUGUAAGCACAGCAAUGUGUGUAGCUGACGAGUACUAAUCGGUCGAGGGCUUAUCCUACAA
rnacentral:rRNA from 1 species